GAAGUCAUCAGAACCGCAAUUCAUUUCCUUUCUUCUAGCUUCAUAGUCGGCCAGCUGCUGCAGAGAAACAACCAAAGACUCUCACCAUUUCUUUCUUCCAAAGCCAUGCAAAUCACUAUCAAACUUCCACCAAAUUCUCUCAAAAUUUAACUACAACUAGCUCAUUACUCGGACAACAACUUAGGCUGGAAAAGGGAGGAGUUUCACGGCUGUCUUCAGGCUUCAUAGGGACCGAAAUUUUCUGAUCUGAACAGCCAUCAAAGUAGGCACGCACGAGGACCUCCAAGAGGACCCUACUGUGGAAGUUUGAACUCUUCCUCCAAUUUACUUGCUUGCAUAACUUGGUUGAAUUCGGAGGUAAAAUGGAGCAGCCUCUUGAUGUACUUUUGUUUUAGGGUUGCUAAUACUUUUGUUUAUGCCUUCGGCUUUGGAUUGUACUUUUGGUAUGGAAAUGUAACCUUUGGA